CUAAGACCAUCCCAAUUUCUCAUGCGGCCCCUUGGGAAAAUUAAUUGCCCACCCCUGGUUAAGACGAUAUAGCAAGCAGAACACUUUAUAGUAUAGGUAGCCUAUCGGUUAGCGCACAUACAUAAACUGAACAACGACGACCAAACUCAAGGGGACUCACACUAGCCGUUGCCUGUGAAACGCUCGAUCCUUACUUCAUUCAAAUGAUACACCUGUGAAUUGGUACUUGACUUCUUAUCGCCUACGGUUUUUUUGAAGUGAAGUUUACUAUGAUGGGGAUGUCAGUGCGAUGUAUGAAAAUGUUCAGGCAUACUCGAGCAUAAAAGCUAUUUACAAACUUAAUUGUGUGUUUAGAUGAGGUUCGUACUACUUUCUAAACUAACAUUCAACCCUCAAAGAAAAAAAAAAAACCAAACCAAUAUCUAAAUGAAUAUCUACUUUAGAACGAAAUCUUAGAAUAUACAUUAAAAUUUAAAUGUCACUUAUUAUUUUAUUCUUAUUUUCAGUUGUUUGAGUACAAAUCCAUGUUGAAUUGAGUAACUGGUAAUUAACCGACUUCAAUAUGGGGCUUCAUUUCAGAACCUUUGCCUACUUUCAAACAUAGCGAAAUAUCUGCUUGACGUUUUCAGCUGUUUAAGGGAAGUAAUCUACAGUGGAACAAAUCCUAAAGGUUCCAGAAGUUACCCCCCUUAUAUACAAAAGCGUAUACAAAGCGAUGUGUUCUGAGAUGCUACCCAUCGGUGGUACAUAUCUGUACGAACCGGUCCGGGCGGCAGGGUGCGGGAUAUGGUCAAAUUCGAACUCACCGCCGAGUCUGAGUAUGUUUCAAAAGUCAAAAACUUUCCUAAAAGAUGAACGCAUUUCUCCCAUACAACAUCAAGAAAAAAUGUUCCUCCAGCGACAAGAUUAUAUUUUUAAAAAACACAGUCCACGGAUCUUUAUAUAUAUGUUCGACAAAAAUGAAAUCUUUCGACCAUUCAUUCUGCUAUUUCAUCUACAACUGUCAAUAGGGAAAGAUACACAAAACGAGUGUCAGUCUCCUAUUCUUUUGUGGUUCCAGAUGUGGGGUUAUACAGUAAACAAUCAUGCAUAUGUAACCUCUUCGUGAAAAAAAAAAUUCUGAUCAAUUAUAGUUACUAGCAAAACCAAUGCUAAAAUAUACUUGAAACGUUUCCUUUGUCUUUCUUUCUAAAUUAGAGUGGUACAACCUAUUUCCACCUAUCUUCUCAGGCAAGGUGUUAAACGCCAGUUUUUACUCCUUCCUCACCUCUGGGUCAGCUCAUCGAGGUACACGCUAUCUGGUUGGUGGGAUGGAGCAGGUGUUUUUCGCCAAAACCACCGAAUCAGCGAAUCAGCAACACUGUCACUGAAUGGUGGCGCCGGAAAAGAGCUAGCUUCAAAAUGGCUGCCGCUGUAAUAAACGCUGUGAUUGUUUCUGAGAUUUUAGCAGCUCCAAACUCUUCCAAGAUGUUGCAAACAAUCUAUCCCAAAUUUAUAAAAUCACUGUGGUCUACCCGUGCCAGGGAUCGAAUUACUACGAACAAUAAUGUCGACAUUGUGGACGUCGCUGUUCACAUUGUACGCGACUUGGCGACUGUAGGAUGCUGUGGACGCAUAUCGAGUCUUGGUUUCAGAGUAAGAGUAUUCAAAGAUGGAUGCCAGUAGCAUGGGAAACCACAGAUUCAAAUGGAACAUCACCAUGCAUAAAUACUGAGUUCGUGAAAGUGAUAGAAAGGGGAUACAGAAUCAGUCUACAUACAUAUUUUGAAAGAUAAAAACAUCUACAAAUUUAUCAAGACAGUGCUUAUCCUUGGGAAAACUGCACCAAGUUUGGCAGUGACAAGGCAAAUGUACUGACUGAACCUGAGAAAGGUGUCCAUUCUUUCAUGCCGAAGAAGAACCUGCAUCAGUGUAGCUGUACCUUUCACCUUUUAUAUAUUGCAGUAGAAAAGUAAAUAAUGAAGAUGAAGGCCUAAGUGAAGCUGUAGCACUUGUGGGAAAUUACCUUCUGAGAAAAGCAGAGCAGUAUUUUCUUGAUCCUUGUUCUUGGACACCAUGUGUAUCUGCUAUGCAAAACAUGAGCUUCAAAGGCAAGUAAGGAAAACACCAAAAGCUCUUCUGCAAACAAGGCAAGGAGUCACUCUGUACCUUCUCUUGCACUGAAGACUGCCUGACAUCUAAGGACUUUGCUUUUGCAUAAAAUGUUCAGGUCACAAAUUAUUUCACACCUGCUGCUAAAUUUCAUGCUGAAUAUUUUGUACUAAGAAGAAAGCUGUGUGUGGACUAAAGUUUACGUGUUCUUAUGAAAUAGAAGUUUGCUUGUGGAGCUUCAUUGUGAAUAUGUGUUCGCCGCUGUGGUAUUCAGUUUUCUUAAUUAUGGAGUUUCAUUGGAUAUCUCAUCGAUUACCAUCCAGUUAUCUUCACAGUGGAGUUUUUUUUUAUUCUGGAUAUGUCUUCACCUGUGCAGCAUUCAGUUGUCUUUAACGAGGAAGUUUUGUUUUCUUGGAUAUUCAUUCACAUGUGUAAUAUUUAUUUUUCUUAUUUUGGAUGAAUUCAUUAUUUACAACCAUUUCUAGUCAAUGGAAUAUGCGUCAAGACUGUAUAUCCUUCAGUUUUUGAAAAGGAGUAAAAAAUCCUAGCAUUUGUGCCACAGAAAAUUGAGUGAAAUGGUGUACUUGUCGCAUGGAAUAAUUUAGCUGCAGUGUCACCUCCAUGGUUCGUCUUUAUUGCCAUCAGGAAGAGAUUGAAGGUAAUGGCCAAUUCUUUGUUCUUAAUUUGAAUUUUAAAAUUUGUUAUUACAAUUUUUUUAUAUAUAAUAUGGUAUAUCUCAUAGGUUAAUGAAACUGCUUCAGCCAGCUAAUUAAAAAUGACUCCCCGUCCUUUGAAAUCAAGCCGUCAUGUGUAACAAGUGGAGCUUAGAAAGUUCAUGAAAUUUUUAUUUCAGAUUUUUUUCAAGGAUAAUUAGUAAUCGUUUCCUUUUGGACUAAUGUUUGUUAUUAAAUAAAUGUUUUAACCUAUACAGGAAAACUGGAGACACAAAAAUGCAUCUGACACAAUGGUAGGCCAUUUUAAAAUUCUAAAAUUCUUUUGAUAUUUUCUAUAAAAGGUUGAGGAAUAGGACAUGAUUAGUUCCCUUUCACCUUCAGAGGACUAAAAUAGUGACUGCAUUAAUUAGGUUAUGUGACAUAUCAAGUAAAACAUCAAUGAAGAAGAUGAAAAUAACCAGCAAAAUAAAAACAAUAGUGAAAUGUGAAGUUCAUUUUAAUAAUAAUAAUGCAUGUUUUUCCUUGCCAGGGAGCUCCAUGCGCCUUUUUAAAAAAGUAUUUUACUUUACUAAUACAGUACCACAAAUGCAUAAAUAAAAGAAGCAUCAAACUUAAAUUUCAUUUGUGGCUAACUUCAGUUUUCAAAUUAUGCUAAGCCAGAUGGUAUGAUGUCCUUUUCCUAUUGAUCAAAGAGGAGUAAUAAUAACUUGCCAUAGUGUCAGUUGUGUGAAUAGUAAGCACAGAAAUUGACAACUUCAAAACUUUUCCGUACAUUUUUUUAAAAAGUCUAUUGCUUUGAAGUACUUCCCAUUAAUAUUAUUUAUAUGAGAUUUUAAUUAUUAGUAGAUCUGUGUUUCUUGCAUUUAUUUUUCGUGUCUAUUUAAAAUCAAAUGCAGGUAUUACCAAAGAUUAUUCCUUAACAUCAGUACCUUUGUAAAUACUCAAAUAUGUGUGUCCAGUUCUUGCUCGAUUCCACAACAUUUUUUCCCAUGUUUUUUGUUUACAUUUAUACUUCCUGUGUAUGUGUUGUAGUUUAAGGGAGGGCUUCUUACUAGUAAGCUUUAAGUAUAACUUAAAAAAAUCACAUUGUGAUCUUUUAAAGUAAUAAAAUAUUGAUAGAAAAAUG
rnacentral:misc_RNA from 1 species